UUUUGUUAACAAUUAAAUUAACAAAGAACUGCAAUGGUGAAAAAACAGGUAACAAAUCAGAAAGAAAAGCAUAAGUGUAACUAUCUUUUUGUCGCGUCCCCGUACUAGAUUUUGCUCAUCUUAAGUUCGCUGUAACUCGGUACGGCGUUUUUUUCUUUAAAAUUUCAGCAAAUUAAAUUUUGACUGGAAAUGAAUGCAUGCCACAACCCCUCGCCUUUUUUUUACAGAAUAUCGUAACGCCACAACAUUGUGUCAACAUUCGACAUGUGCCCAUGGCAUAACAUUUGCUAACAUUAAAACUAUAUUUUUGUACUGAUGGCCAAAAAUAUAAAGAUAAUUCCAAAAUCUACAGUUUUACGGUUUUAUUGUGUUGGUUAUUUUGACAUCUUAGCGUACCAACCAACUUGAAUUUAGCAUAAUUAUAAAAUUUACUUUAUCGUUCGGUAAAAUGUUUCGAAAACUCAAAAACGGUUCUAGCUCUACGAGGUUCAUUUCUGCAAGCUCUAUUUUUUGUCGAGCGUAGAAAAAGCCUCCGACACUCAGGGCACAAAAGUUUAUCACCUUGAAAAUUAAUUUUCUUGUAAAUACGGUAAAAUGAAGUUUGUUUUACCGAAGCUUUUAUUUAUAGAAUAUCAUUUUAUUUGUGGGAAAGAUUACAUUUAGGUUCCUGCUGUUCGGAAAAACAAAGAAACACUAGAACAUAAAACCAGUAAAAUUGUUGUUCUUGUAAAGAGAAAAUACGAAAUUUAUUGAAUAUUAAAGCAAAAACGUUACGGUUGAACGGCUGAAAUUAAUAAUUAGUAUAAUGUAAAGAAACUCAAGACCUAUCCAUACAUGUUUUGCUAUUACCAAUUACCUUACCAGUUUUGUAAACGUUUCUUGACGAUCAUAAAAUUCGUGCAAAACUUGACAUUAUCAAAAACAAAUUGUAUAUGCCUAAAUUGUAAAAUGAUAGUCAAACCAAAGAUUUAUAAAUAAUAUACAUUUAAUCUGCGCAAGGUACUUUCGUUUUGGUUCGAGAGAAAUUACCUUUAAAGUUUCUCAUUUUAAAGAAACCAAAAAAUGAACAUGAUGAACUACAGCAAUAACUUGCAAAGCUGAGUCGAUUUUUAUAAUAAUAUUUGAAUAAUAGGUAACGAUUAGGAGCAUUUAUGGUAAUAUACAUGUCGACUACGCAGGUAAUCGCGUUCGACGAAGAAGAACGCAUACUAAUCAUUUCGUAUAUUAAUCCCGCGUGUUUUACGAUGAUGUCCCGCGUGUGUCUGCAUAUGUCAUUCGAUUUUCAGGUUUGACGCCAUCUAGCUGCAUGGGUGGCUUGGUGGUACGAAUUAACAAAAUACGAGUUACUUCCUUAUAAGUGUAAUUUAAUUAACCUUGGCAUAUGCAUAUAUGCAUAUA